GACGGACGCUGGCGGCGUGCCUAAUACAUGCAAGUCGAGCGGACGAAUCGAAAGCUUGCUUUUGAUUCGUUAGCGGCGGACGGGUGAGUAACACGUGGGCAACCUGCCCUGUAGACGGGGAUAACACCGAGAAAUCGGUGCUAAUACCGGAUAACACGAAAUGUCGCAUGACGUUUCGUUGAAAGACGGCGCAAGCUGUCGCUACAGGAUGGGCCCGCGGCGCAUUAGCUAGUUGGUGAGGUAACGGCUCACCAAGGCGACGAUGCGUAGCCGACCUGAGAGGGUGAUCGGCCACACUGGGACUGAGACACGGCCCAGACUCCUACGGGAGGCAGCAGUAGGGAAUCUUCCGCAAUGGACGAAAGUCUGACGGAGCAACGCCGCGUGAGCGAAGAAGGCCUUCGGGUCGUAAAGCUCUGUUGUUAGGGAAGAACAAGUAACGCAGUAACUGGCGUUACCGUGACGGUACCUAACGAGAAAGCCACGGCUAACUACGUG
rnacentral:rRNA from 1 species